GACGAACGCUGGCGGCGUGCUUAACACAUGCAAGUCGAACGGAAAGGCCCUGCUUUUGUGGGGUGCUCGAGUGGCGAACGGGUGAGUAACACGUGAGUAACCUGCCCUUGACUUUGGGAUAACUUCAGGAAACUGGGGCUAAUACCGGAUAGGAGCUCCUGCUGCAUGGUGGGGGUUGGAAAGUUUCGGCGGUUGGGGAUGGACUCGCGGCUUAUCAGCUUGUUGGUGGGGUAGUGGCUUACCAAGGCUUUGACGGGUAGCCGGCCUGAGAGGGUGACCGGCCACAUUGGGACUGAGAUACGGCCCAGACUCCCACGGGAGGCAGCAGUGGGGAAUAUUGCACAAUGGGCGGAAGCCUGAUGCAGCAACGCCGCGUGCGGGAUGACGGCCUUCGGGUUGUAAACCGCUUUCGCCUGUGACGAAGCGUGAGUGACGGUAAUGGGUAAAGAAGCACCGGCUAACUACGUGCCAGCAGCCGCGGUGAUACGUAGGGUGCGAGCGUUGUCCGGAUUUAUUGGGCGUAAAGGGCUCGUAGGUGGUUGAUCGCGUCGGAAGUGUAAUCUUGGGGCUUAACCCUGAGCGUGCUUUCGAUACGGGUUGACUUGAGGAAGGUAGGGGAGAAUGGAAUUCCUGGUGGAGCGGUGGAAUGCGCAGAUAUCAGGAGGAACACCAGUGGCGAAGGCGGUUCUCUGGGCCUUUCCUGACGCUGAGGAGCGAAAGCGUGGGGAGCGAACAGGCUUAGAUACCCUGGUAGUCCACGCUGUAAACGGUGGGUACUAGGUGUGGGGUCCAUUCCACGGGUUCCGUGCCGUAGCUAACGCUUUAAGUACCCCGCCUGGGGAGUACGGCCGCAAGGCUAAAACUCAAAGGAAUUGACGGGGCCCCGCACAAGCGGCGGAGCAUGCGGAUUAAUUCGAUGCAACGCGUAGAACCUUACCUGGGUUUGACAUGGAUCGGGAGUGCUCAGAGAUGGGUGUGCCUCUUUUGGGGUCGGUUCACAGGUGGUGCAUGCCUGUCGUCAGCUCGUGUCGUGAGAUGUUGGGUUAAGUCCCGCAACGAGCGCAACCCUUGUUCACUGUUGCCAGCACGUUAUGGUGGGGACUCAGUGGAGACCGCCGGGGUCAACUCGGAGGAAGGUGGGGAUGACGUCAAGUCCUCAUGCCCCUUAUGUCCAGGGCUUCACGCAUGCUACAAUGGCUGGUACAGAGAGUGGCGAGCCUGUGAGGGUGAGCGAAUCUCGGAAAGCCGGUCUCAGUUCGGAUUGGGGUCUGCAACUCGACCUCAUGAAGUCGGAGUCGCUAGUAAUCGCAGAUCAGCAACGCUGCGGUGAAUACGUUCCCGGG
rnacentral:rRNA from 1 species